GUGGGGAAUCUUCCGCAAUGGACGAAAGUCUGACGGAGCAACGCCGCGUGAGUGAAGACGGCCUUCGGGUUGUAAAGCUCUGUGAUCCGGGACGAAAGAGCCUGAGGUGAAUAGCCUAAGGAAGUGACGGUACCGGAAAAGCAAGCCACGGCUAACUACGUGCCAGCAGCCGCGGUAAUACGUAGGUGGCAAGCGUUGUCCGGAAUUAUUGGGCGUAAAGCGCGCGCAGGCGGCUUCCUAAGUCCAUCUUAAAAGUGCGGGGCUUAACCCCGUGAUGGGAUGGAAACUGGGAAGCUGGAGUAUCGGAGAGGAAAGUGGAAUUCCUAGUGUAGCGGUGAAAUGCGUAGAGAUUAGGAAGAACACCGGUGGCGAAGGCGACUUUCUGGACGAAAACUGACGCUGAGGCGCGAAAGCGUGGGGAGCAAACAGGA
rnacentral:rRNA from 1 species